AAAUCAUCAAUGUGUCAAAACUUUCAAGAUUUUUCCUUUAUUUCUAAAUGAACAGCACUGCUUCUUUGAAUUACCUCUGUAAGCUCGCUGCCAGUGAUCUGCUCUAGGAGUAGACGCCAGGUCUGCUUUGAAAUUGCCCAACGUUCGCUUGCUGCCAAAGCCGAGCUGCCCGCGCUUCCCUCACUGCACCCCGCAUGCCAAAAGAAAUGC
rnacentral:lncRNA from 1 species